GGUGAGGUGGCCGAGCGGUUAAGGCGUUGCGUUUAGGCUGUUCUAAACACUCUCCGCAAUCAGAAAUGGCGUGGGUUCGAAUCCCACCCUCAUCA